rnacentral:tRNA from 1 species
GCCCCCUUCGUCUAGUCCGGUCAAUUAAAGCUGAGAGGAUAGCUGCUUCUCGGGCAGCGGACCUGGGUUCAAAUCCCAGAGGGGGCA